UUCUCCGUCCGCCUCCGUCGCCGCCCCCACCCCCGCCCGCUGGCGCUCCUCCUGCUCUCCUCCGCCACCGCCAGCUCCCGCGGCAGAUCCACGCUGCCCUCUCCCCAACCCCACCUCUCUCUCUACACCGGCGGCACCCCUCCUCACCCCUCCGGCCUCCGUGAGGCACGGGCCGUCGUGGAGUCGCCAGACCUGCGUGCAGCGCGAUCGACAGCGGCAGCGCGGAGGAGACAGAGGCACGACCGGCCGCGCCGCGCCCACUAGGAGCUGGCCGCGCCGCGCCCGCCUCCUGGCCUACGCCGCGGCACUGCUGCACGGCCACACCGCCGCAGGCUCCGCGGCGAGACCACCGAUCUCUCGGCACGAAUCCCAUCCGUCCAACCCCUGCGCUUCCUCCCCGCCUCCGACGCCUCCGCCUCCGCCUCGACCGGCCAAGUUUCAGAUCGAUCUCCUCCAUCUGUGCAUGCGCCGGUCCCGGCCUCUGCUCCUGUGGCGGCGCGUCUCCCCUUCGGCCGGUGCCUAGUGUCCGUGGACUGACACUGGUACACGGGCGAGAUGCUGGUGCGCUUCGCGGUCGUGUUGGGCGGGUGCAAGUUCGAGGCCGCCGUGGCAUGCGCCGAGGGGUCCGGCCGCGUCACUGUCUCGAUGUCGAGGACGCCGACGGCGCUGCGGUCAACGCUGAGGGAUCCGGCACGCUGCGGCGAUGAAGGCAUCCAGGAGGGGAGGGGAGCGGGACCAGGAGGAGGCCAAGAGGCGGUACCUUGAGUUCGUGAGGCGAAAGAAGGGGGAGGAAGGAGAGCAAGGCGCGACGCGAGGCGCUCGUGGACCUGUGCUGCUCCACCGCCAGCGCCGCCGUCGUGCUCUCCUACCUCUCGCCGUGGUCGCGCUUCGGUGAUCGGCACCUGCCUGCCGGCCGCCCGGAGGGACGGCGGCUGCUGGAUGCAAAGCUGCAAUGAGUUGGUCAAGAAAUGGGGAUCCUGAGUUGAAUAUGAUAUCAAAUCUUGUGGACCCGAAUAAAAUUUGUAGCGACGCCAGAUUGGAGCGGGUGAGCAACAGGCCAUUAAAGAUGAUGUUGGAACUGUUCGAAUUCAGCAACUAGAUAAAGGAUCAUUUUAUGGAUCACCAACUUAUCUUGAAUCUUGGAAAAUGAUCCAGGUUAUACCAGCUUGCUUCCAUUUCAUUUGCAACAUUUGGUGUCUUCCUUCUAGCAAAGCGUGCAGCAUUUUCUAGAAAGAAAGCGCCGGCAUGAACUGUAGAAAAGAACAAGGCCCAGCUUGUUGUCAUUGCUCAUGAUGUGGAUCCGAUUGAGCUUCUGUGCAGGAUGAUGGAGUUCCCUUACUGCAUUGUUAAAAGGAAAGGCUCUCCUUGGAUCGAUUGUUCACAAGAAGACCGCAUCUGUGCUGUGCUUUACCACUGUCAAGAAUGAGGACAAGCUCGAGUUUAGCAAGAUCUUGGAGGCAAUUAAGAUAGGAAAGAAUGGCAUAUUGUGAUCUGAUUGGUAUCAUGUGGUUAUGAUCCCUCUUAAAAUGACUCGAAUUGUACUCCAGGCAAACCAUCUUGACUAUUUAUUUACACACUAUAAUACUGGAUAGACACCUUUGAUGGAUAGUGUACCCACGCUGCUCAAAUGUUAGCAUAUUAACCAUGUAUUUAUUACCAUAUGAUGUGAUUUUGUAUUGAAAUUAUCCUAUACUCCAUUUUUUAUUCACA